UACGAAGGGGGCUAGCGUUGUUCGGAAUCACUGGGCGUAAAGGGCGCGUAGGCGGCUCAUGAAGGCUGUGGUGAAAGUCCGGGGCUCAACCUCGGAUCGGCCGUGGCGACUCGUGGGCUGGAGCACUGUAGAGGCGGGUGGAAUUCCGGGUGUAGCGGUGGAAUGCGUAGAGAUCCGGAAGAACACCAGUGGCGAAGGCGGCCCGCUGGGCAGUGGCUGACGCUGAAGCGCGACAGCGUGGGGAGCAAACAGG
rnacentral:rRNA from 1 species